GAUGAACGCUGGCGGCGUGCCUAAUACAUGCAAGUCGAGCGAACAGACGAGGAGCUUGCUCCUUCGACGUUAGCGGCGGACGGGUGAGUAACACGUAGGUAACCUACCUAUAAGACUGGGAUAACUUCGGGAAACCGGAGCUAAUACCGGAUAAUAUUUCGAACCGCAUGGUUCGAUAGUGAAAGAUGGCUUUGCUAUCACUUAUAGAUGGACCUGCGCCGUAUUAGCUAGUUGGUAAGGUAACGGCUUACCAAGGCAACGAUACGUAGCCGACCUGAGAGGGGAACGGCCCCAACUGAACUGAGAACAGGGCCAGACUCCUAAGGGAGGGAGCAGGAGGGAAUCUUCCGCAAUGGGCGAAAACCUUACCGAGGAACGCCGCGUGAGUGAAGAAGGUCUUCGGAUUGGAAAACCCCUGUUAUAGGGAAGAAAAAACGUGGAAGUAACUGUGCACGUCUUGACGGUACCUAAUCAGAAAGCCACGGCUAACUACGUG
rnacentral:rRNA from 1 species